rnacentral:rRNA from 1 species
UACGUAGGGGGCAAGCGUUGUCCGGAAUCAUUGGGCGUAAAGCGCGCGUAGGUGGCUUCGUAAGUCCGUUGUGAAAGUCAAAGGCUCAACCUUUGAAUGCCGAUGGAUACUGCGAAGCUAGAGUACGGAAGAGGCGAGUGGAAUUCCUGGUGUAGCGGUGAAAUGCGCAGAUAUCAGGAGGAACACCAAUUGCGAAGGCAGCUCGCUGGGACGUUACUGACGCUGAGACGCGAAAGCGUGGGGAGCAAACAGG